UUCACCGAGUAUCCCCAUUGGGCGUCGUCCUCGGUCAGGGACUCCUCGCCGAAGUACUGCCCGUCGGCCAGCACCCCGAGGAUCGUGUCGUCGCCGUAGGCGCCGGUACCGACCUUGUUCGCCUUGCCGUGCGCGAUCAGGUAGACCUCGUCGAUCGCGCGGCCCGGCUCGACGAUGACCGCGCCGGGUUCGAACUCCUGCUGGACGAACCGGCCCGCCAGGGUCUGCAGCACCUCGUCGUCCUCAUAGGUGCGAAGCGGCGGCAGUUCGCGCAGCUCCGGCGGUACCACCCGUACCUCGGAACCGACGUUGGUGAACGUGACCCGUCCAUCCCCGACGGUGUAGGUGAGCCGACGGUUGACCCGGUAGGCACCGCCGUUGGUCUGCACCCACGGCAACACCCGCAGCAGCCAGCGAUCCGAGAUCCCCUGCAUCUGCGGCGUCGACUUGGUCGUCGUCGCCAGAUUCCGCGCCGCCGCGGUGGACAGGCUCUGAGCUUGCUGUUCUU
rnacentral:antisense_RNA from 1 species